AUGAUGCAAAAAAUGUUUGUUUUCAUUGGAACGAGACAGAAAAGAUUAGCAUGGCCCCCGUGCGAGGAUGACACGCAAAUUUGUGAAGAGUUCCAUAUUUAA
ensembl:snRNA U6 U6 spliceosomal RNA